rnacentral:rRNA from 1 species
UACGGAGGGUGCAAGCGUUGCUCGGAAUUAUUGGGCGUAAAGGGUAGGUAGGUGGUCUCGUUUGUCAGGGGUGAAAGCCUUGGGCUUAACUCAAGAAGUGCCCCCGAAACGGCGAGACUCGAGUACUGGAGAGGCUAGCGGAAUUCCCGGUGUAGCGGUGAAAUGCGUAGAGAUCGGGAGGAACACCAGAGGCGAAGGCGGCUAGCUGGACAGUUACUGACACUCAACUACGAAAGCGUGGGGAGCAAACAGG